GAGUGGCAAACGGGUGAGUAACGCGUGGGCGACCUACCUCAGAGUGGGGGAUAACCUUCCGAAAGGAGGGCUAAUACCGCAUGACAUACCGUGUUUGGAUACACGGAUAUCAAAGCCGGGGAUCGCAAGACCUGGCGCUUGGAGAGGGGCCCGCGUCCGAUUAGCUAGUUGGUGGGGUAACGGCCUACCAAGGCUCCGAUCGGUAUCCGGCCUGAGAGGGCGGACGGACACACUGGGACUGAGACACGGCCCAGACUCCUACGGGAGGCAGCAGUGGGGAAUUGUUCGCAAUGGGCGCAAGCCUGGCGACGCAACGCCGCGUGGAGGAUGAAGGAUUUCGGUCCGUAAACUCCUUUCGACCGAGAUGAACACCUCUUUACCUAACACGUUUAGAGGUUGACAGUAUCGANGGAAGCAGCCACGRCUAACUNCCGUGCCAG
rnacentral:rRNA from 1 species